CUCUGAGUUGAGUCGUUUGGAGACACCUUCAAAUCCAUGUCCCUGAUGCCUCUGCGGUUGAUGUCUGAAGGUGGCGUGAGCUGGGGCGCGGUCUGAGCGUCCUCUUCACUGCGCUGUGUGGGAGGUGGCGCUGCUGGCUCCCCAGCCCGGCCCCCUGGGCUCCAGUCUCUCCUGGCUGUGCCCCCUACUUGCUGUGUGAUCUUAGAUGCGCCAUCUUUGACGUCGGCUCUCCUGGGACCCUCGAGGAGCACUAGUGUGCAGGACGGACAAGGGUGAGUACAGAGUGGCUGCUUGUUUGUUUGCUUAAAUUUUACAACUAGUGCACAUAAGCCUCUUUAUUAUUUAAAAAAAAAUUAUCGAAAGAGCAUCAAGGAAAAAAGGGAAAUCUUCACUGUCCCUCCCGGUACCCACAAGUCUGAUGUCCUCCCUCAGAGGUAGUGACGGCUGGGGGUCUCGGGGGUCUCCCGCCAGACCUCUUUGCACGUGUGAACAUUCCCACUUAUGCGUACACACACUGGUUGUUUGCUAG
rnacentral:lncRNA from 1 species